rnacentral:rRNA from 1 species
GACAGAGGGUGCAAACGUUGCUCGGAAUUACUGGGCGUAAAGCGUGCGUAGACGGUUACAUAAGUCGGGUGUGAAAGCCCCGGGCUCAACCUGGGAAUUGCAUUCGAGACUGCGUAGCUAGGGUGCGGAAGAGGGAAGCGGAAUUUCCGGUGUAGCGGUGAAAUGCGUAGAUAUCGGAAGGAACACCAGUGGCGAAAGCGGCUUCCUGGUCCAGCACCGACGUUCAGGCACGAAAGCGUGGGGAGCAAACAGG